rnacentral:rRNA from 1 species
UACAUGGGAUGGCAACAGUUGCUCGGAAUCACUGGGCGUAAAGCGCACGUAGGCGGGUCUUUAAGUCAGGGGUGAAAUCCUGGAGCUCAACUCCAGAACUGCCUUUGAUACUGAGGAUCUCGAGUCCGGGAGAGGUGAGUGGAACUCCGAGUGUAGAGGUGAAAUUCGUAGAUAUUCGGAAGAACACCAGUGGCGAAGGCGGCUCACUGGCCCGGUACUGACGCUGAGGUGCGAAAGCGUGGGGAGCAAACAGG